rnacentral:rRNA from 1 species
AUAUCAGCAUCGCUCACACUCCGGCGUGCAUACCUCAUGCUCUCCUCGAAGUGAGCAGCCUUGAUCUCGUCCACCUCGUCUUCCUCCAUGGCUUCAGGGUUUUCCUUCAGCCGCCUCUCCUUUUCCAUGUCCUUCUCAAUGUUCUCUCUGAUGGCGUAUUUGCACGCACGCUGGCAGAUUUCCGUGAUGUCUGCGCCGCUGAACCCUUGCGUGUAUUUAGCGAGUGCAUUCAGGUCGACGUCCUUGGCCACAGGAGACUUCCUGAGGCAGGCCCUGAAGAUC